CGGCAAAAGCUCAAAUUUGAAAUCUGGUACCUUUGGUGCCCGAGUUGUAAUUUGGAGAGUACCACUUUGGGACUGUACUUUGCCUAUGUUCCUUGGAACAGGACGUCAUGGAGGGUGAGAAUCCCGUGUGGCGAGGGUGUCAGUUCUUUGUAAAGGGUGCUCGAAGAGUCGAGUUGUUUGGGAAUGCAGCUCUAAGUGGGUGGUAAAUUCCAUCUAAAGCUAAAUACAGGCGAGAGACCGAUAGCGAACAAGUACAGUGAUGGAAAGAUGAAAAGAACUUUGAAAAGAGAGUGAAAAAGUACGUGAAAUUGUUGAAAGGGAAGGGCAUUUGAUCAGACAUGGUGUUUUGCGCCCCUUGCCUCUCGUGGGCUUGGGACUCUCGCAGCUCACUGGGCCAGCAUCGGUUUUGGCGGCCGGAAAAAACCUAGGGAAUGUGGCUCUGCGCCUCGGUGUAGAGUGUUAUAGCCCUGGGGAAUACGGCCAGCCGGGACCGAGGACUGCGAUACUUGUUAUCUAGGAUGCUGGCAUAAUGGUUAUAUGCCGCCCGUC
rnacentral:rRNA from 1 species